AGUAUCCUAAAGGGUUGUCGUAGACUACGACGUUGAUAGGCAGGGUGUGUAAGCGUUGUGAGGCGUUGAGCUAACCUGUACUAAUUGCCCGUGAGGCUUAACCAU
rnacentral:rRNA from 1 species